AGAGUUUGAUCCUGGCUCAGAUUGAACGCUGGCGGCAGGCCUAACACAUGCAAGUCGAGCGGUAGCACAGAGAGCUUGCUCUCGGGUGACGAGCGGCGGACGGGUGAGUAAUGUCUGGGAAACUGCCUGAUGGAGGGGGAUAACUACUGGAAACGGUAGCUAAUACCGCAUAAUGUCGCAAGACCAAAGUGGGGGACCUUCGGGCCUCAUGCCAUCAGAUGUGCCCAGAUGGGAUUAGCUAGUAGGUGGGGUAACGGCUCACCUAGGCGACGAUCCCUAGCUGGUCUGAGAGGAUGACCAGCCACACUGGAACUGAGACACGGUCCAGACUCCUACGGGAGGCAGCAGUGGGGAAUAUUGCACAAUGGGCGCAAGCCUGAUGCAGCCAUGCCGCGUGUAUGAAGAAGGCCUUCGGGUUGUAAAGUACUUUCAGCGGGGAGGAAGGCGAUAAGGUUAAUAACCUUGUCGAUUGACGUUACCCGCAGAAGAAGCACCGGCUAACUCCGUGCCAGCAGCCGCGGUAAUACGGAGGGUGCAAGCGUUAAUCGGAAUUACUGGGCGUAAAGCGCACGCAGGCGGUCUGUCAAGUCGGAUGUGAAAUCCCCGGGCUCAACCUGGGAACUGCAUUCGAAACUGGCAGGCUAGAGUCUUGUAGAGGGGGGUAGAAUUCCAGGUGUAGCGGUGAAAUGCGUAGAGAUCUGGAGGAAUACCGGUGGCGAAGGCGGCCCCCUGGACAAAGACUGACGCUCAGGUGCGAAAGCGUGGGGAGCAAACAGGAUUAGAUACCCUGGUAGUCCACGCCGUAAACGAUGUCGAUUUGGAGGUUGUGCCCUUGAGGCGUGGCUUCCGGAGCUAACGCGUUAAAUCGACCGCCUGGGGAGUACGGCCGCAAGGUUAAAACUCAAAUGAAUUGACGGGGGCCCGCACAAGCGGUGGAGCAUGUGGUUUAAUUCGAUGCAACGCGAAGAACCUUACCUGGUCUUGACAUCCACAGAACUUAGCAGAGAUGCUUUGGUGCCUUCGGGAACUGUGAGACAGGUGCUGCAUGGCUGUCGUCAGCUCGUGUUGUGAAAUGUUGGGUUAAGUCCCGCAACGAGCGCAACCCUUAUCCUUUGUUGCCAGCGGUUCGGCCGGGAACUCAAAGGAGACUGCCAGUGAUAAACUGGAGGAAGGUGGGGAUGACGUCAAGUCAUCAUGGCCCUUACGACCAGGGCUACACACGUGCUACAAUGGCAUAUACAAAGAGAAGCGACCUCGCGAGAGCAAGCGGACCUCAUAAAGUAUGUCGUAGUCCGGAUUGGAGUCUGCAACUCGACUCCAUGAAGUCGGAAUCGCUAGUAAUCGUAGAUCAGAAUGCUACGGUGAAUACGUUCCCGGGCCUUGUACACACCGCCCGUCACACCAUGGGAGUGGGUUGCAAAAGAAGUAGGUAGCUUAACCUUCGGGAGGGCGCUUACCACUUUGUGAUUCAUGACUGGGGUGAAGUCGUAACAAGGUAGCCGUA
rnacentral:rRNA from 1 species